CAGAGCUUUAACAAGAGGCAGUGCAAUGGGUGGAGACAAAUGGUGAAGGCAGUAUCUGAAAUAGGGAGCACAGUUGAGAUUGCCCAGAGAAAAUGUGUAGAUUGCAAUGAGAAGAGAGUUGGAGAUAGAACCUUAGGAAACAUCAAGAAAUGGAGACAAUUUCCUCAGAAGAUAGAUUGAGAUAGGAGAAGCAGGAAAGUACCACGGCCCAGAAACCAAGAGAGGAGAGGUUGUAAGGAGGAGGUGGUGAGCAAAGUCAUACGUUGCAGGUAGCCCAGAUAAAAAGGACUUCUGGAGUUAGCUGUUAAGAAGUUCUUGGUGAUCUUAACAGAGGUAAUUUCAAUGGUGGCAAAGGUAGAGGCCAGGGUGUGUUCUAUGGGGAAGGAACAGAGGUGAGGAAAGGAAAGAAUAAACUCAGGCCACUAUUUGAGAAGGAAGAAGAGAAAACUGCUAUAAGGAGCCACAGUUGAGGUAAAUUUUAUUUUUCAGGAAGAGGUAUUUCAGCAUAAACAUAUGUGAGAGGAAGGAGCAGAUGGAAGUGCAGGAGUAAAGGGUGAUGGUGGAUGGAAGAGGGAGGGUUUAGAGCACAGGCUGGAGGACUCACCCUGAAGGAGGGACAACCCUUUCAAGACUUGAGAGUCCAGUGAGGAAAGAGUGAAGGAAAUGACAAAGCACCCUUUGGAGGAUGACGACAGAAAUGUACGCAUGAAAAUAAUCACACCUCAGGGAUCUCCGAGGGCCUGCACGCACUACCGAUUACUCACCCGUUGUAAGGUCUCCCAGCAUUAAUCCAUCUUGGCAGUAGGAAGAACAUUACCAAAUGACUACAUUG
rnacentral:lncRNA from 10 species